UACGAGAGCCCCGAGCGUUAUCCGGAAUCAUUGGGCGUAAAGGGUGUGUAGGUGGUUUCAUUAGUCUUCUGGUAAAGACCCAGGCUCAACUUGGGGAAAUUGGAGGAAACGGUGAGACUAGAAUAUGUGAGGGGUGUACGGAACUCUACGUGUAGGGGUGAAAUCCGUUGAUAUGUAGGGGAACACCAAAAGCGAAAGCAGUACACUAGCGCAUUAUUGACACUCAAACACGAAAGCGUGGGUAGCGAAUGGG
rnacentral:rRNA from 1 species